GAUGAACGCUGGCGGCGUGCCUAAUACAUGCAAGUCGAGCGAACGGACGAGAAGCUUGCUUCUCUGAUGUUAGCGGCGGACGGGUGAGUAACACGUGGAUAACCUACCUUUAAGACUGGGAUAACUUCGGGAAACCGGAGCUAAUACCGGAUAAUAUUUUGAACCGCAUGGUUCAAAAGUGAAAGACGGUCUUGCUGUCACUUAUAGAUGGAUCCGCGCUGCAUUAGCUAGUUGGUAAGGUAACGGCUUACCAAGGCAACGAUGCAUAGCCGACCUGAGAGGGUGAUCGGCCCCACUGGAACUGAGACACGGUCCAGACUCCUACGGGAGGCAGCAGUAGGGAAUCUUCCGCAAUGGGCGAAAGCCUGACGGAGCAACGCCGCGUGAGUGAUGAAGGUCUUCGGAUCGUAAAACUCUGUUAUUAGGGAAGAACAUAUGUGUAAGUAACUGUGCACAUCUUGACGGUACCUAAUCAGAAAGCCACGGCUAACUACGUG
rnacentral:rRNA from 1 species